rnacentral:rRNA from 1 species
AACAGGAUUAGAUACCCUGGUAGUCCACGCCGUAAACGAUGUCGACUUGGAGGUUGUUCCCUUGAGGAGUGGCUUCCGGAGCUAACGCGUUAAGUCGACCGCCUGGGGAGUACGGCCGCAAGGUUAAAACUCAAAUGAAUUGACGGGGGCCCGCACAAGCGGUGGAGCAUGUGGUUUAAUUCGAUGCAACGCGAAGAACCUUACCUACUCUUGACAUCCAGCGAACUUUCCAGAGAUGGAUUGGUGCCUUCGGGAACGCUGAGACAGGUGCUGCAUGGCUGUCGUCAGCUCGUGUUGUGAAAUGUUGGGUUAAGUCCCGCAACGAGCGCAACCCUUAUCCUUUGUUGCCAGCGAUUCGGUCGGGAACUCAAAGGAGACUGCCGGUGAUAAACCGGAGGAAGGUGGGGAUGACGUCAAGUCAUCAUGGCCCUUACGAGUAGGGCUACACACGUGCUACAAUGGCGCGUACAAAGAGAAGCGACCUCGCGAGAGCAAGCGGACCUCACAAAGUGCGUCGUAGUCCGGAUCGGAGUCUGCAACUCGACUCCGUGAAGUCGGAAUCGCUAGUAAUCGUGGAUCAGAAUGCCACGGUGAAUACGUUCCCGGGCCUUGUACACACCGCCCGUCACACCAUGGGAGUGGGUUGCAAAAGAAGUAGGUAGCUUAACCUUCGGGAGGGCGCUUACCACUUUGUGAUUCAUGACUGGGGUGAAGUCGUAACAAGGUAACC